rnacentral:rRNA from 1 species
AGCGAACGCUGGCGGCAGGCCUAACACAUGCAAGUCGAACGAACCCUUCGGGGUUAGUGGCGGACGGGCGAGUAACACGUGGGAACGUGCCUUUAGGUUCGGAAUAACUCAGGGAAACUUGUGCUAAUACCGAAUGUGCCCUUCGGGGGAAAGAUUUAUCGCCUUUAGAGCGGCCCGCGUCUGAUUAGCUAGUUGGUGAGGUAAAGGCUCACCAAGGCUACGAUCAGUAGCUGGUCUGAGAGGAUGACCAGCCACAUUGGGACUGAGACACGGCCCAAACUCCUACGGGAGGCAGCAGUGGGGAAUCUUGCGCAAUGGGCGAAAGCCUGACGCAGCCAUGCCGCGUGGAUGAUGAAGGUCUUAGGAUUGUAAAAUCCUUUCACCGGUGAAGAUAAUGACUGUAGCCGGAGAAGAAGCCCCGGCUAGCUUCGUGCCAGCCGCCGCCGUAACAC